rnacentral:misc_RNA from 1 species
GAUGAAGAACGCAGCAAAAUGCGAUAAGUAAUGUGAAUUGCAGAAUUCAGUGAAUCAUCGAAUCUUUGAACGCACAUUGCGCCCGCCAGUAUUCUGGCGGGCAUGCCUGUUCGAGCGUCAUUUCAACCCUCAAGCACAGCUUGGUGUUGGGACUCGCGUUAAUUCGCGUUCCCCAAAUUGAUUGGCGGUCACGUCGAGCUUCCAUAGCGUAGUAGUAAAACCCUCGUUACUGGUAAUCGUCGCGGCCACGCCGUUAACCCCCAACUUCUGAAUGUUGACCUCGGAUCAGGUAGGAAUACCCGCUGAACUUAAGCAUAUCAAUAAGCGGAGGA